UCCGUAGGUGAACCUGCGGAGGGAUCAUUACAAGUGACCCCGGUCUAACCACCGGGAUGUUCAUAACCCUUUGUUGUCCGACUCUGUUGCCUCCGGGGCGACCCUGCCUUCGGGCGGGGGCUCCGGGUGGACACUUCAAACUCUUGCGUAACUUUGCAGUCUGAGUAAACUUAAUUAAUAAAUUAAAACUUUUAACAACGGAUCUCUUGGUUCUGGCGUCGAUGAAGAACGCAGCGAAAUGCGAUAAGUAAUGUGAAUUGCAGAAUUCAGUGAAUCAUCGAAUCUUUGAACGCACAUUGCGCCCCCUGGUAUUCCGGGGGGCAUGCCUGUUCGAGCGUCAUUUCACCACUCAAGCCUCGCUUGGUAUUGGGCAACGCGGUCCGCCGCGUGCCUCAAAUCGACCGGCUGGGUCUUCUGUCCCCUAAGCGUUGUGGAAACUAUUCGCUAAAGGGUGCUCGGGAGGCUACGCCGUAAAACAAACCCAUUUCUAAGGUUGACCUCGGAUCAGGUAGGGAUACCCGCUGAACUUAAGCAUAUCAAUAAGCGGAGGAAAAGAAACCAACAGGGAUUGCCUU
rnacentral:rRNA from 1 species